AGAACCUGAAACCGUAUGCGUACAAGCAGUGGGAGCCCCUUGUGGGUGACUGCGUACCUUUUGUAUAAUGGGUCAGCGACUUACAUUCAGUGGCAAGGUUAACCGAAUAGGGAAGCCGUAGAGAAAUCGAGUCCGAAUAGGGCGAAUCAGUCGCUGGGUGUAGACCCGAAACCAGGUGAUCUACCCAUGUCCAGGGUGAAGGUAGGGUAAUACCUACUGGAGGCCCGAACCCACGCACGUUGAAAAGUGCGGGGAUGAGGUGUGGGUAGGGGUGAAAUGCCAAUCGAACUUGGAGAUAGCUGGUUCUCCCCGAAAUAGCUUUAGGGCUAGCCUCGAGUUGAGAGUCUUGGAGGUAGA
rnacentral:rRNA from 1 species